AAGCAUAAACGGUGAAUACCUCGGCUCCUAAUUCGAUGAAGACCGUAGCAAACUGCGAUAAUUCACUAGAAUUGCAGACUACCGGGACAGUCGAAACGUUGAACGCACAUGAUGGUAUCAGUCCGCAAGGAUUAGAUGCCAUACUUGGAUGAUAGCGAUA
rnacentral:rRNA from 1 species